rnacentral:lncRNA from 1 species
GCGAAGAAGGCGGGGACGGCUGCGGCUGCGGGUGACCGGCGAUCGGCUUCGGCAGCGAAUGCUCCGAGAACGCCAUCAUCUGGGAGGUCUGGCCGCCACCGCUGCCGCCGCUGCUGCUGCGGAUGCUCAUGGCAGAAGUGAAGUGAGGCUGGCUGGCUACUAUACUGCUGCCGCUACUGCAACCGCCUAGCUUGCGCUCUGAGGCGUGAGCUAGCUAGCUUAGGUUGAUGAGGUGGUUGCUGUGAGCUUCUAGUGUGUAGUGUGGGUAGUGCUCACUAUGGAGGGAGGCAGGGUGGUAUUUAAAUGGGGAGCUCGGAGGAGGAGCUAGACGGAGAGCACUGUGGAUGAGAUGGCGAGGUAGGGGGUCGAGUUCGAGUGACAUGCAUGCGCUGCGCUGCUGCACCGCACUUGUUUAAUUCUAGGAGGAAAAGGAGGGAACGGAAAGCUCACUCCAUGUUUG